UCUUUUCAUCACUAUUAACCCUAUUCUUUUCAUCGCUAUUUUAGAAAACAUGGCCGGCAUCAAUAUAGAAACUCUUUUGUCGUAUCACUACCUAACUGGUCCUCUGCUCAAAAACCCACUUUUAGAAUAUGACAAGGCAAUCAACACGCUACAAGUAAAGUACAGAACAUACAUCGUCGAGUACGACUUUGACAUUGUGAAUAUACUUUCAUUUUCGUUGUACAAAACAAGCUAUAAUGUUGUUUUUAAAAUUAUAAACAGAUAGUUGUUGAAUAGUGUUGUUUGCUAAAUUUAUAGUGUUGUUUGCAUAUUGUAAAUGUUUGUUCUAUUUUAGAAACUAAUUGUUUACUAUAUAUAUUGUGCUGUUUUGUAUAAAUGUUGCUAUUUGAAAACUGACAGAUAGUUGUUUGCAUAAACUAAAUAUUUAUUCAUAAGCCACAUAUUUGUCUAAUCAUGGAUAUUAGUUCUCACUUAUUUGUCAGUUUGUAUUCAAUGUCCUUUUUUUUUAAUUACGGUAGGUCUUGCCUACCAUAGUGUGAUAAACAAAUAAUUUUGUUGUUUUCACCAGGGUGCCGUAUGCUUGCCAAGUUACUAAUAAUGUUGUUUAUAUGUGUAGUGCUGUUUGCAAACCAUGGAACUGAGUCAUCUUAGAAACUAAAAUUAUAACCAAGUCUAUGCAAUGUAUCUUAUGUAUUUUAUGUUUUGCCUUGGAUCAAUGAUUCUAUUAUGGUCUAGCUGAGUUAUAAUUGAAUUGGUUUAAAUUUGUGUUUCAACUCAUGAACCACUCAACCAUUAAAAUGAUUCAGUUUUUUUAUCAUUCAGUUUGGUUCAGCUUAGUGAUAUGGUUUCAGUUAACCACAUUUUUCACACCCCUAGAUUCAAGCAAGUGUUGGUAUUAUUUUUUUAUAUUCUUAGCAAGGUUAAAAUCUAAAGAAGUGAUAAAAUAUUCUUAGUUGAUUACAAGUUAUCUGCCACAAUUUUGAAGAUUCAUUGUUCUUUGUUGUUUGUUAGACGUGUCAAAUACUAAGUUGAAUUUAAUUUGAUGGUUUCUUUUCUUUCUCUUUACUAUGUUUCUUCCUGAACAACUUUUAACUUGGAUUACCCCUUAGAUUAUGAAAGGUUAACUUGGAUUGGAUUUGCAAUGGUCAGCUUCUAGAUGUCACAAUAGGAUAUUUUAUGAUUGCAUUAGUAUGCCAAUAUAUGGAUGUUGGAAAUCAAUGGUGGGGUGGAGCCAGAGAGAUUGUUCUGGCUCAUGUCAAAGUAGGUAAGACAUAAUCAACACAAGUAGUGUGGCAUAUGAGAACGAUAAGGACCUGAAGGCUAUCAAGCUUUGAUGUGGCUUUUAGGGACAAGGGAAAAUGAGGAAGAAAAAUCACUAUUUGUUAUAGUAUACUCUACAUAGGUAAUGCCUCCCAAUUUUAUCUGAUUUCAAGUUACAAGUAAUUAGAAUUGAGUUUUAAU